rnacentral:rRNA from 1 species
GGAAGUAAAAGUCGUAACAAGGUUUCCGUAGGUGAACCUGCGGAAGGAUCAUUCAUAAUCAAGUGUUUUUAUGGCACUUUCAAAAAUCCAUAUCCACCUUGUGUGCAAUGUCAUCUCUCUGGGGGCUGCCGGUUGUCAAAAGCCGUGUGGUCACCUUUGGGAUUUAUAUCUACUCAGAACUUUAGUGAUUUUGUCUGAAACAUAUUAUGAAUACUUAAUUCAAAAUACAACUUUCAACAACGGAUCUCUUGGCUCUCGCAUCGAUGAAGAACGCAGCGAAAUGCGAUACGUAAUGUGAAUUGCAGAAUUCAGUGAAUCAUCGAAUCUUUGAACGCAUAUUGCGCUCUCUGGUAUUCCGGAGAGCAUGCUUGUUUGAGUAUCAGUAAACACCUCAACUUCCAUAUCUUUUUUUGAAAUGGGAGUUGGACUUGAGUGAUCCCAACGCUUUUCCUCACCGAAAAGUGGCGGGUUACUUGAAAUGCAGGUGCAGCUGGACUUUUCUCUGAGCUAUAAGCAUAUCUAUUUAGUCUGCCUAAAAAACAGAUUAUUACCUUUGCUGCAGCUAACAUAAAGGAGAUUAGUUCUUGUGCUGACUGAUGCAGGAUUCACAAAGACAGGCUUCGGCCGACUUUGUAAACUCGAUCUCAAAUCAAGUAAGACUACCCGCUGAACUUAAGCAUAUCAAUAAGCGGAGGA